GUUGUAUGGUUAAGUGACUAAGCGUACACGGUGGAUGCCUUGGCAGUCAGAGGCGAUGAAGGACGUAGUAACUUGCGAUAAGCGUAGAUGAGGCAGUAACAGCCACUUGAGUCUACGAUUUCCGAAUGGGGAAACCCACUGGCAUAAGCCAGUAUCAUUGAGUGAAUACAUAGCUCAAUGAAGCGAACCGGGAGAACUGAAACAUCUAAGUACCCCGAGGAAAAGAAAUCAACCGAGAUUCCGAAAGUAGCGGCGAGCGAAAUUGGAUUAGCCCUUAAGCUUUACAUGUGUUAGACGAACGGUCUGGAAAGUCCGACGAUACAGGGUGAUAGUCCCGUAGUUGACGAUGCAUGUUCAGUGAAAUCGAGUAGGGCGGGACACGUGUUAUCCUGUCUGAAUAUGGGGGGACCAUCCUCCAAGGCUAAAUACUCCUGACUGACCGAUAGUGAACCAGUACCGUGAGGGAAAGGCGAAAAGAACCCCUGUGAGGGGAGUGAAAUAGAACCUGAAACCGUGUACGUACAAGCAGUAGGAGCACCUUCGUGGUGUGACUGCGUACCUUUUGUAUAAUGGGUCAGCGACUUAUAUUCAGUGGCAAGGUUAACCAUCUAGGGGAGCCGUAGGGAAACCGAGUCUUAACUGGGCGCCAUAGUCUCUGGAUAUAGACCCGAAACCGAGUGAUCUAGCCAUGGGCAGGUUGAAGGUUGAGUAACAUCAACUGGAGGACCGAACCGACUAAUGUUGAAAAAUUAGCGGAUGACUUGUGGCUAGGGGUGAAAGGCCAAUCAAACUCGGAGAUAGCUGGUUCUCCCCGAAAGCUAUUUAGGUAGCGCCUCGGACGAAUACUACUGGGGGUAGAGCACUGUUAAGGCUAGGGGGUCAUCCCGACUUACCAACCCUUUGCAAACUCCGAAUACCAGUAAGUACUAUCCGGGAGACACACGGCGGGUGCUAACGUCCGUCGUGGAGAGGGAAACAACCCAGACCGCCAGCUAAGGUCCCAAAUUACAGCUAAGUGGGAAACGAUGUGGGAAGGCUUAGACAGCUAGGAUGUUGGCUUAGAAGCAGCCAUCAUUUAAAGAAAGCGUAAUAGCUCACUAGUCGAGUCGGCCUGCGCGGAAGAUGUAACGGGGCUAAGUUGUAAACCGAAGCUGCGGCAAUGUUCUAUGAACAUUGGGUAGGGGAGCGUUCUGUAAGCCGUUGAAGGUGUGUUGUAAAGCAUGCUGGAGGUAUCAGAAGUGCGAAUGCUGACAUGAGUAACGACAAGGGGGGUGAAAAACCUCCCCGCCGGAAGACCAAGGGUUCCUGUCCAACGUUAAUCGGGGCAGGGUAAGUCGACCCCUAAGGCGAGGCUGAAAAGCGUAGUCGAUGGGAAACGGGUUAAUAUUCCCGUACUUCUUACAAUUGCGAUGGGGGGACGGAGAAGGCUAGGUGGGCCUGGCGACGGUUGUCCAGGUUCAAGUGCGUAGGCUGAGUGUUUAGGUAAAUCCGGAUACUCUUAAGGCUGAGACACGACGUCGAGCUACUACGGUAGUGAAGUCAUUGAUGCCAUGCUUCCAGGAAAAGCCUCUAAGCUUCAGAUUGUAAGGAAUCGUACCCCAAACCGACACAGGUGGUCGGGUAGAGAAUACCAAGGCGCUUGAGAGAACUCGGGUGAAGGAACUAGGCAAAAUGGUACCGUAACUUCGGGAGAAGGUACGCUCUUGAUGGUGAAGUCCCUUGCGGAUGGAGCUGACGAGAGUCGCAGAUACCAGGUGGCUGCAACUGUUUAUUAAAAACACAGCACUGUGCAAAAUCGUAAGAUGACGUAUACGGUGUGACGCCUGCCCGGUGCCGGAA
rnacentral:rRNA from 1 species